rnacentral:lncRNA from 10 species
CACCUUUAAAGCUCACGGCCGCGGUCUGCGUCUUCGUUCUUGAAGUCAGCAAGACCGCAAGCCCACCGGGAGGAGCAGACGACUCCGGACGCGCCAUCUUUAAGAGCUGUAACACUCACCGCGAGGUCCGUGGUUUUAUUCUUAAAGUCGGCGAGACCAACAACCCAGCAGAAGGAAUAAAUUCCGCACACAGAGUCUCAGUGCCUUCGCUGACGUUCCUUUGAUGAGCUUCUAACUCUCUCUGAGAACAUCGCCCUGGACCCCCGAUGCGGCUGCCAGAGCAACCCGGAGAGGGGAAGCCCGAGAAUGAGAAAAAGGGGGACGGAGGAGCCCUCGGAGGGGGAGAGGAGCCGCCGAGGAGCCAGGCCCCCGACUUCCCCACCUGGCAAAGUCUUGCACUGUCACCCAG